GGCGAGAAGCCAGGCAGGACGCCACGACGCGUCGUGUCUGAGAGAAAACCGUCUCCCCUCCACUCAGGCUUCAGCCCCGACCCCACGCUAACUGGGCCAGGGCAGGGGCUGGGCUGGGAGGGGACCCAGUGAGCUCAGGGCUGGAGGAAACGGUCCCUGCUUUGAAGUGGCUCCGGCACCGGCCUCUCCCACCACCCUGUCAUGUAUGAAGGAGUUACAGACGGCGGCGGGGGGAGGGGGGGUCUGUCCUGCUGGAAGGACGGAGGGAAGGGAGAUGCCUCACUGAGUCCAGAGGUCGAGGGGUGGGUGGGGAUUCUGCGAGGAUGAGGAGGAGGAGGAGGAGGUCCCGCCAAGGUCAGCCGGGGCAGCAACACCUCCCGGCCCCUUUGCCGAGGUCCUGGCCCAGGUGGGGCUCCCGGGAGCCUGGAGGCCAACGGCGGAAAGACAGGGACCUGAUCCCUCCAGCAGUCCCAGCCGCCGGCCCCUCACACCCUCACCUCUCCCAGGAAGUCCUCAGCAUGCUGCCGGCUGGGGCCUGGCGCUGGGGCAGGAGGGUGGCCACCCGCGCUGAAGAUGAGGACAAGCCCGGGGCGUGGGUGGUGGGCGUUUCCUCUGUGGGGUGGACGAGGCUCUUGCGGUGCGUGUGUUGGGGACAUGAGACGGGGCGGGGCAGCUGCCAGGCGGCCAAUGGCUUCCACACCAGGGGCCAAGAGCAGAACCCCAGGAGGGUUAUCUCAGUCUUCCCGGCAGCAGUGAGCUCUGUUCGUUUUUCUGAGUAAUAUGGAAAUGGCACGGCUCAGCCACACAAGGGCCUGGGCAAAGGUCACGGCCAGCAAAGAACACAGCCUGGGUCCUCUGAGUCCCGAGUCCACGCGAUCCUGACCCGUCCACCACCCUCCUCGAGACACGACAAGUUAGGCGGGAACAUAACCUGGGAGCCCCAUGUCGGUUUCAGGCUCCACAAGGGAUCUCUGGGUAAAGGGUUUGUCUCUUCCACAUCUGUUCAUUUAGGAGAAGCAAAGAACAUGGAAAGCAGAAUUCCUGGGGGUGGCCUCAACCCCAAGCCCUGCCGAUGCAAACCGGCACCUUGAAGAUGCCUUUGGAAUUUAACUGGAAGAUUUGAAUGACAUGGGCAGACACAGAAGAGGGAGAAGCAUUCCACAGGGGAGGAAAGGCCUCAGUGGGGACCUAUGGAGCUCCCAGGCCCACCGCAGGGAGGCAGGUCCUCGGUCAUCUGCGGAGGGAGAACACUUUCAGUCGAAGGAGCCUGGGACCCUUGACACAGAAGUGACAUGUGCAUUCGGAACCUCUCUGUGGAAAACACAGACCCUUCAUGACACGCAAACUCGAAGCCGGUGAGGCCGAGUCUCAGGGCUGCGCCAACCAGGAAGCCUGGCUGUCCAAUGUUCCAAAUCUGGAUGUGAAAUGGACCAUGCAGACAGGACCCAAGGGGCAUGGGGGAGCUGGCAGAGGCACCCGGGACAAGUGGGGAAGCAC
rnacentral:lncRNA from 1 species